UAUAGUUUACAAGACGCGUGGAGAGCUCCCCAGCACAAGUGACCACGCAGAGCUAUCAGCACAGGUAACAAUGCAGUUCCUGAGAAAUGAAAAAGAGUCCAAGCAUGGAACCGCAGCGGGAGGUACUGGA